rnacentral:rRNA from 1 species
UACAGAGGGGGCAAGCGUUGUUCGGAAUUACUGGGCGUAAAGGGCGCGUAGGCGGCCUUCUAAGUCGAACGUGAAAUCCCCGGGCUCAACCCGGGAACUGCGUCCGAUACUGGAAGGCUUGAAUCCGGGAGAGGGAUGCGGAAUUCCAGGUGUAGCGGUGAAAUGCGUAGAUAUCUGGAGGAACACCGGUGGCGAAGGCGGCCAGCUGGGCCGUCCCUGACGCUGAGGCGCGAAGGCGUGGGGAGCGAACGGG